GAUGAACGCUAGCUACAGGCUUAACACAUGCAAGUCGCAGGGUAACAUGAGGAAAGCUUGCUUUCCUUGAUGACGACUGGCGCACGGGUGAGUAACGCGUAUCCAACCUUCCCAUAACUACGGGAUAACCCGUUCAAAGACGGCCUAAUACCGUAUGAUAUCGUUUGCUGACAUCAAAUAACGAUUAAAGGUUUAGCGGUUAUGGAUGGGGAUGCGUCUGAUUAGCUUGUUGGCGGGGUACCGGCCCACCAAGGCGACGAUCAGUAGGGGUUCUGAGAGGAAGGUCCCCCACAUUGGAACUGAGACACGGUCCAAACUCCUACGGGAGGCAGCAGUGAGGAAUAUUGGUCAAUGGGCGAGAGCCUGAACCAGCCAAGUAGCGUGCAGGACGACGGCCCUAUGGGUUGUAAACUGCUUUUAUGUGGGGAUAAAGUGCGUGACGUGUCAUGCAUUGCAGGUACCACAUGAAUAAGGACCGGCUAAUUCCGUG
rnacentral:rRNA from 1 species